rnacentral:misc_RNA from 1 species
GUAGGUGAACCUGCGGAAGGAUCAUUACAGAGUAUCAUGCCCUUCGGGGUAGAUCUCCACCCUUGAAUAACAUACCUUUGUUGCUUUGGCAGGACGCACUCGUGCCAGGGGCUUCGGCUCUUGAGUGCCUGCCAGAGGACCCAAAACCUUGAAUAUUAGUGUCGUCUGAGUAAAAAGUUUAAUAUUUAAAACUUUCAACAACGGAUCUCUUGGCUCUG